GGUUCUGUCCAGGUGAGCCGAUCCACUGAUUCCUCUGUCACUCAGUUUAGUUUCUGAUUUUAUCCCAGACCUGUAAUGGUUUGCUCCACUGGUUAGGCUGCUUAGAAACAUCAUAAAUGAAACAUUGAUCAACAUAUUUGAUGUGUAUUGAUGAUUUUGAUAACGGUAUUUGACAGAAUAUAAGGUUUGAAUACAGUCUGAUGUUUUUAUGAUGUAAAGCACAUUUAACUGAAAUUAUGCUAUACCAAUAAACGUGACUCGACUAUGAGUCGUACAUAAAGUA